rnacentral:piRNA from 1 species
UAAAGAAGUUGCCAAAACGGCUGGGCCU